CUUCCCGCAGUGGAUACAAAGAUCACUUUAAGAGAGGAAACAAAAGAUCCUGCAUAAAACUAUGAGCAAAUGCCCAUCCAAGGAGGCUUCGCUGGUUUUUCUUUACGUAUUAAAUUCUUUAUGUACUACACAAGGACAAGCUCUCACUUACAUAAAAACAUAAAAUAACAGCAAAACAUAGCUGUGAAGAUGAGACAGCAGAAUGAUGUGGAAACUAAAUUCCUUUCAGAACAUACUGGAACAACAAGAUAAACUUAAGAACUGAAACAUUUAAAAUAUAAAUUGUAGGGGGUAGCCUGUUUUCGAAAAUCAUGGAAAGCCUACAAAUCAUAGAUCCCUGGAAAGAGUUCUUUAGGUCUAAGUCGAAUCUUUUAUAGAUAUUCCUAGUGAAUUUUGUGAGUAUGUAAUCUCAAAGUAAGUAACUCUGACAACUCAGGUACAUGGGCAGAACACAAGAUCACUGUCAGCUGCCAGCUCACUCAAGCUCAACAGCCCCUUGUCAAGAAUUAAGGGACCAUGAUCAUGGUCCAAAAGAGGUACAGGAAUGUUACAUAAAGCAGCUGGACUCCUAAAAAGACGCGAGUUCCUGUUUGAAUACAUGCUACUGCCUGAAACCAUAAAAAAUAACAUAAAUUGGAGAAAUCAUCUUUUUUGAAAUAACUCUUUUUAAUUCAUUCAUUUAUUUGAUAUAUACAUAUGAAUAUACAGGAACUUUAGUCAUCGUUAUGGUACAUGUCACAGGGUUUGCAAAUAAAAAUAAGUAUUAAAAAUUCAUCUAUUAUGUGACUCGCUUUGUCAAUCAGUAAAUGUUUGUCACUUUAAAAAGGCCUCAUUGUCUUUUGAGACGCUAAGUGAGUCAAAAGUAAAACUAAAUAUGUAGCCUCGUUUUUUAUCUAAAUUUUAUAAUUACACAUUUGAUGAAAUUUUCCCUACCUCUUCUAAAGGAGUAAAUUCACUCUUAAACAACUAAAGAGGGUCAAAGAGAUACAGCACCUCUAGCUGUCUACUAGGAGCAAGAAUGUAGCUUUUCCAAAGGUUUAUAUUCUACACCAUUGUCAAGAAGUCAGAUUACUUUUGAAUGCUGUUACAGCCUAUGGCAGGCAAGAGAAUGUGCUGCUUUAACAGCUAAAGCAUGCAUGACAUCA
rnacentral:lncRNA from 1 species